UAGGGAAUCUUCGGCAAUGGACGAAAGUCUGACCGAGCAACGCCGUGUGAGUGAAGAAGGUUUUCGGAUCGUAAAACUCUGUUGUUAGAGAAGAACAAGGACGUUAGUAACUGAACGUCCCCUGACGGUAUCUAACCAGAAAGCCACUGCUAACUACGUGCCAUCAGCCGCGUUAAUACGUAGGUUGCAACCGUUGUCCGGAUUUAUUGGGCGUAAAGCGAGCGCAGGAGGUUUCUUAAGUCUGAUGUGGAAGCCCCCGGCUGAACCGGGGGGGGUCAUUGGAAACUGGGGGACUUGAGUGCAGAAGAGGAGAGUGGAAUUCCAAGUGUAGCGGUGAAAUGCGUAGAUAUGUGGAGGAAGACCAGUGGCGAAGGCGGGUCUCUGGUCUGUAACUGAGGAUGAGGAACGAAAGGGUGGGGAGCAAACAGG
rnacentral:rRNA from 1 species